AAAAGGGUAGAAAUAGGAUAACUCUAUUUUCUUGCAACUCUUUUGAGAAUCUCAUUGUAAUCAAGAAACAAAGUUUGAUAGUGGAACGGAGAGCUGCUCUCUCCCCCAGAUUAGGUCACAUUGACUGAACUGGGUAAACAAUUUAUUGUGUCCUUUUCUUUUCUCGCCGUUUAUCAUUAUUUGUGAUUAUUAUUGCCGUUCGCUUAUUUUGAUUGCUUAAUCGUAUUUGCUCCACACAUCAAGAUUAUUAUUGGUGUGAUUUUAUCGAAUUCACAACA
rnacentral:lncRNA from 1 species